UACGUAGGGGCGAGCGUUGUCCGGAUUUAUUGGGCGUAAAGGGUUCGCAGGUGGCCUUUUAAGUCAGAUGUGAAAGAUCACAGCUCAACUGUGGUAAGCAUUUUAAACUGAAAGGCUUGAGUUAAGGAGAGGAAAGUGGAAUUCCUAGUGUAGCGGUGAAAUGCGUAGAUAUUAGGAAGAACACCAGUGGCGAAGGCGAUUCUCUGGACUGUAACUGACGCUGAGGCUCGAAAGCGUGGGGAGCAAACAGGAUUAGAUACCCUGGUAGUCCCU
rnacentral:rRNA from 1 species